rnacentral:rRNA from 1 species
GACAGAGGGUGCAAACGUUGUUCGGAAUUACUGGGCGUAAAGCGCGUGUAGGCGGCUUUGCAAGUCGGAUGUGAAAGCCCACGGCUCAACCGUGGAAGUGCAUCCGAAACUGCAUGGCUGGAGUCCCGGAGAGGAAGGUGGAAUGCUUGGUGUAGAGGUGAAAUUCGUAGAUAUCAAGCAGAACACCUGCGGCGAAGGCGGCCUUCGUGGACGGUG